GGAUGUGAGGGCGAUCUGGCUGCGACAUCUGUUACCCCACUGAUAGCCAGGGUUGAUUCGGCUGAUCUGGCUGGCUAGGUGGGUGUCUCCUUCCUCCCUCACUGCUCCAUGCGUGUCCCUCUUGAAGCUGUGCACUCAGACGAAGAGGACGACCUUCCCCAGAGAGGAGGACUAUUCUUUGGUCAAGGGUACACGAGUAGCUGCACUUCCCUGCUAGAACCUCCGAACAGGCUGUCAAAAACCUGCACGUGAUGUUUAUAGCAGCUUUAUUCAUAAUUGCCAAAGCUUGAAAGCAGCCACGAUAUCCUUCA
rnacentral:snRNA from 1 species